rnacentral:rRNA from 1 species
GGGUUGUGAGGUUAAGCGACUAAGCGUACACGGUGGAUGCCCUGGCAGUCAGAGGCGAUGAAGGACGUGCUAAUCUGCGAUAAGCGUCGGUAAGGUGAUAUGAACCGUUAUAACCGGCGAUUUCCGAAUGGGGAAACCCAGUGUGAUUCGUCACACUAUCAUUAACUGAAUCCAUAGGUUAAUGAGGCGAACCGGGGGAACUGAAACAUCUAAGUACCCCGAGGAAAAGAAAUCAACCGAGAUUCCCCCAGUAGCGGCGAGCGAACGGGGAGCAGCCCAGAGCCUGAAUCAGUGUGUGUGUUAGUGGAAGCGUCUGGAAAGGCGCGCGAUACAGGGUGACAGCCCCGUACACAAAAAUGCACAUACUGUGAGCUCGAUGAGUAGGGCGGGACACGUGGUAUCCUGUCUGAAUAUGGGGGGACCAUCCUCCAAGGCUAAAUACUCCUGACUGACCGAUAGUGAACCAGUACCGUGAGGGAAAGGCGAAAAGAACCCCGGCGAGGGGAGUGAAAAAGAACCUGAAACCGUGUACGUACAAGCAGUGGGAGCCUCUUUUAUGGGGUGACUGCGUACCUUUUGUAUAAUGGGUCAGCGACUUAUAUUCUGUAGCAAGGUUAACCGAAUAGGGGAGCCGAAGGGAAACCGAGUCUUAACCGGGCGUUAAGUUGCAGGGUAUAGACCCGAAACCCGGUGAUCUAGCCAUGGGCAGGUUGAAGGUUGGGUAACACUAACUGGAGGACCGAACCGACUAAUGUUGAAAAAUUAGCGGAUGACUUGUGGCUGGGGGUGAAAGGCCAAUCAAACCGGGAGAUAGCUGGUUCUCCCCGAAAGCUAUUUAGGUAGCGCCUCGUGAAUUCAUCUCCGGGGGUAGAGCACUGUUUCGGCAAGGGGGUCAUCCCGACUUACCAACCCGAUGCAAACUGCGAAUACCGGAGAAUAUUAUCACGGGAGACACACGGCGGGUGCUAACGUCCGUCGUGAAGAGGGAAACAACCCAGACCGCCAGCUAAGGUCCCAAAGUCAUGGUUAAGUGGGAAACGAUGUGGGAAGGCCCAGACAGCCAGGAUGUUGGCUUAGAAGCAGCCAUCAUUUAAAGAAAGCGUAAUAGCUCACUGGUCGAGUCGGCCUGCGCGGAAGAUGUAACGGGGCUAAACCAUGCACCGAAGCUGCGGCAGCGACACUGUGUGUUGUUGGGUAGGGGAGCGUUCUGUAAGCCUGUGAAGGUGUGCUGUGAGGCAUGCUGGAGGUAUCAGAAGUGCGAAUGCUGACAUAAGUAACGAUAAAGCGGGUGAAAAGCCCGCUCGCCGGAAGACCAAGGGUUCCUGUCCAACGUUAAUCGGGGCAGGGUGAGUCGACCCCUAAGGCGAGGCCGAAAGGCGUAGUCGAUGGGAAACAGGUUAAUAUUCCUGUACUUGGUGUUACUGCGAAGGGGGGACGGAGAAGGCUAUGUUGGCCGGGCGACGGUUGUCCCGGUUUAAGCGUGUAGGCUGGUUUUCCAGGCAAAUCCGGAAAAUCAAGGCUGAGGCGUGAUGACGAGGCACUACGGUGCUGAAGCAACAAAUGCCCUGCUUCCAGGAAAAGCCUCUAAGCAUCAGGUAACAUCAAAUCGUACCCCAAACCGACACAGGUGGUCAGGUAGAGAAUACCAAGGCGCUUGAGAGAACUCGGGUGAAGGAACUAGGCAAAAUGGUGCCGUAACUUCGGGAGAAGGCACGCUGAUAUGUAGGUGAAGUCCCUCGCGGAUGGAGCUGAAAUCAGUCGAAGAUACCAGCUGGCUGCAACUGUUUAUUAAAAACACAGCACUGUGCAAACACGAAAGUGGACGUAUACGGUGUGACGCCUGCCCGGUGCCGGAAGGUUAAUUGAUGGGGUCAGCGCAAGCGAAGCUCUUGAUCGAAGCCCCGGUAAACGGCGGCCGUAACUAUAACGGUCCUAAGGUAGCGAAAUUCCUUGUCGGGUAAGUUCCGACCUGCACGAAUGGCGUAAUGAUGGCCAGGCUGUCUCCACCCGAGACUCAGUGAAAUUGAACUCGCUGUGAAGAUGCAGUGUACCCGCGGCAAGACGGAAAGACCCCGUGAACCUUUACUAUAGCUUGACACUGAACAUUGAGCCUUGAUGUGUAGGAUAGGUGGGAGGCUUUGAAGUGUGGACGCCAGUCUGCAUGGAGCCGACCUUGAAAUACCACCCUUUAAUGUUUGAUGUUCUAACGUGGACCCGUGAUCCGGGUUGCGGACAGUGUCUGGUGGGUAGUUUGACUGGGGCGGUCUCCUCCUAAAGAGUAACGGAGGAGCACGAAGGUUGGCUAAUCCUGGUCGGACAUCAGGAGGUUAGUGCAAUGGCAUAAGCCAGCUUGACUGCGAGCGUGACGGCGCGAGCAGGUGCGAAAGCAGGUCAUAGUGAUCCGGUGGUUCUGAAUGGAAGGGCCAUCGCUCAACGGAUAAAAGGUACUCCGGGGAUAACAGGCUGAUACCGCCCAAGAGUUCAUAUCGACGGCGGUGUUUGGCACCUCGAUGUCGGCUCAUCACAUCCUGGGGCUGAAGUAGGUCCCAAGGGUAUGGCUGUUCGCCAUUUAAAGUGGUACGCGAGCUGGGUUUAGAACGUCGUGAGACAGUUCGGUCCCUAUCUGCCGUGGGCGCUGGAGAACUGAGGGGGGCUGCUCCUAGUACGAGAGGACCGGAGUGGACGCAUCACUGGUGUUCGGGUUGUCAUGCCAAUGGCACUGCCCGGUAGCUAAAUGCGGAAGAGAUAAGUGCUGAAAGCAUCUAAGCACGAAACUUGCCCCGAGAUGAGUUCUCCCUGACCCUUUAAGGGUCCUGAAGGAACGUUGAAGACGACGACGUUGAUAGGCCGGGUGUGUAAGCGCAGCGAUGCGUUGAGCUAACCGGUACUAAUGAACCGUGAGGCUUAACCUUACAACGCCGAAGGUGUUU